rnacentral:rRNA from 1 species
UACGUAGGGGGCAAGCGUUGUCCGGAAUCAUUGGGCGUAAAGCGCGUGUAGGCGGCCCGAUAAGUCCGCUGUGAAAGUCCAGGGCUCAACCCUGGGAUGCCGGUGGAUACUGUCGGGCUCGAGUCCGGAAGAGGAGAGUGGAAUUCCUGGUGUAGCGGUGAAAUGCGCAGAUAUCAGGAAGAAUAUCCGUGGCGAAGGCGGCUCUCUGGUACGGCACUGACGCUGAGACGCGAAAGCUAGGGGAGCAAACGGG